rnacentral:rRNA from 1 species
UGCAGUCGUACGGGAGUUUUUAACUCAAGUGGCGGACGGGUGAGUAACACGUAAGAAUUUGCCUCUAGGAGGGGGAUAACAACUGGAAACGGUUGCUAAUACCCCAUAUGCUUUCGAGUGAAAUGGAUUUCCGCCUAGAGAGAAGCUUGCGGCUGAUUAGCUUGUUGGUAAGGUAAUGGCUUACCAAGGCGACGAUCAGUAUCUGGUUUGAGAGGAUGAUCAGACACACUGGAACUGAGACACGGUCCAGACUCCUACGGGAGGCAGCAGUGGGGAAUUUUCCGCAAUGGGCGAAAGCCUGACGGAGCAAUACCGCGUGAGGGAUGACGGCCUAUGGGUUGUAAACCUCUUUUUUCAGGGAGGAAAAAAAUGACGUUACCUGAAGAAUAAGCAUCGGCUAACUCCGUGCCAGCAGCCGCGGUAAGACGGAGGAUGCAAGUGUUAUCCGGAAUCACUGGGCGUAAAGCGUCUGUAGGUGGUUUAAUAAGUCAACUGUUAAAUCUUGAGGCUCAACCUCAAAAUCGCAGUCGAAACUAUUAGACUAGAGGAUAGUAGGGGUAAAGGGAAUUUCCAGUGGAGCGGUGAAAUGCGUAGAGAUUGGAAAGAACACCGAUGGCGAAGGCACUUUACUGGGCUAUUACUAACACUGAGAGACGAAAGCUAGGGUAGCAAAUGGGAUUAGAUACCCCAGUAGUCCUAGCCGUAAACAAUGGAUACUAAUGUUGAACAGAUCGACCUGCGCAGUAUCAAGCUAACGCGUUAAGUAUCCCGCCUGGGAUAUGCUCGCAGAGUGAAACUCAAGGAAUUGAC